rnacentral:rRNA from 1 species
UACGAAGGGGGCUAGCGUUGCUCGGAAUCACUGGGCGUAAAGCGCACGUAGGCGGACUCUUAAGUCGGUGGUGAAAUCCUGGAGCUCAACUCCAGAACUGCCUUCGAUACUGAGAGUCUCGAGUCCGGGAGAGGUGAGUGGAACUGCGAGUGUAGAGGUGAAAUUCGUAGAUAUUCGCAAGAACACCAGUGGCGAAGGCGGCUCACUGGUCCGGUACUGACGCUGAGGUGCGAAAGCGUGGGGAGCAAACAGG